AAGGGAUUGUGAAUUUCCAUAUCUUAGUGUUCCUGUUCGUCUCCCUAUGAUGUUGUAUUGUGACAACAAGGCUGCCAUUAGCAUUGCUCA